AACGAACGUUAGCGGCGCGCCUAACACAUGCAAGUCGCACGAGAAAGGGCUUCGGCCCCGGUAAAGUGGCGCACGGGUGAGUAACACGUGGGUAAUCUUCCCUCGAGCGGGGGAUAACAUUCCGAAAGGAGUGCUAAUACCGCAUAAGACCACGGACUCGAAAGAGUCUGCGGUCAAAGCUGGCCUCUGUACACAAGCUAGCACUGGAGGAUGAGCCCGCGGCCCAUCAGGCAGUUGGCAGGGUAACGGCCUACCGAACCUAAGACGGGUAGCUGGUCUGAGAGGAUGAUCAGCCACACUGGAACUGAGACACGGUCCAGACUCCUACGGGAGGCAGCAGUGGGGAAUCUUGCGCAAUGGACGAAAGUCUGACGCAGCGACGCCGCGUGAGUGAUGAAGGCCUUCGGGUUGUAAAGCUCUGUGGGGAGAGAAGAAUUAGUGGAGGCUAAUCACUCCAUGAUGACGGUAUCUCCUUAGCAAGCACCGGCUAACUCUGUGCCAGCCGCCGCCGUAAGGC
rnacentral:rRNA from 1 species